GAAGGUGGAAGAAUGAGACCUCCCUUGGGGUGAGGCAGAGGAGGAGGGAAAUCCAUGGACACAUCAGAUGGAAGGUCUCCACCUCUACUGUCCUGGUAGUCAUGGCACUGAUCCUUCCAUCGCUGAAGUCUGCAACUGAAGUGAGACCAAGUGAGGAGUGCAGUGCCUUACAGAAGAUAUCUUACGAUUUAACCUUGGAUCCCCAUUACAGAACAAGCUUGAAAACUGGACUGAGACCAUGAUUACUUUGGAAAGUUCCUGAAUAGAGAUGUUUUCCUGGGUGUAAGUCUGACCCUUUAUAAAUAAUAUAUGCCUGAAACAAACAAUUAUGCUCCAACUUUGUAUUGCUGUAGUCAAGCCUCCACUUAUUUACCCAUUUUACUUCAAACUAAUUUGUUGGCUGUUCUCCAUUUGAAAUCAAGGGCCAACAGUAAUCUCUACUGAGGUGUUCAUAAAUGUUUGCUGACA